rnacentral:rRNA from 1 species
AAUUGAUUGAUGGUGCUUGCACCUGAUUGAUUUUGGUCGCCAACGAGUGGCGGACGGGUGAGUAACACGUAGGUAACCUGCCCAGAAGCGGGGGACAACAUUUGGAAACAGAUGCUAAUACCGCAUAACAGCGUUGUUCGCAUGAACAACGCUUAAAAGAUGGCUUCUCGCUAUCACUUCUGGAUGGACCUGCGGUGCAUUAGCUUGUUGGUGGGGUAAUGGCCUACCAAGGCGAUGAUGCAUAGCCGAGUUGAGAGACUGAUCGGCCACAAUGGGACUGAGACACGGCCCAUACUCCUACGGGAGGCAGCAGUAGGGAAUCUUCCACAAUGGGCGCAAGCCUGAUGGAGCAACACCGCGUGAGUGAAGAAGGGUUUCGGCUCGUAAAGCUCUGUUGUUAAAGAAGAACACGUAUGAGAGUAACUGUUCAUACGUUGACGGUAUUUAACCAGAAAGUCACGGCUAACUACGUGCCAGCAGCCGCGGUAAUACGUAGGUGGCAAGCGUUAUCCGGAUUUAUUGGGCGUAGAGAGAGUGCAGGCGGUUUUCUAAGUCUGAUGUGAGAGCCUUCGGCUUAACCGGAGAAGUGCAUCGGAAACUGGAUAACUUGAGUGCAGAAGAGGGUAGUGGAACUCCAUGUGUAGCGGUGGAAUGCGUAGAUAUAUGGAAGAACACCAGUGGCGAAGGCGGCUACCUGGUCUGCAACUGACGCUGAGACUCGAAAGCAUGGGUAGCGAACAGGAUUAGAUACCCUGGUAGUCCAUGCCGUAAACGAUGAGUGCUAGGUGUU